rnacentral:lncRNA from 12 species
CUAUUUAUCUCAACACACUCAACUGAUCAUUUCUUUUUCUUGGUUUUUCUCCUUUAGGAAAGAAUUUUAAGAAAAUAUUUACUUCAAGACUUAAAUACAGAACCUGGUGAACAGAGUAAAAAGGACCAGAAAACUAUCCAUUCUACCACGAACAAACAAUAGGCUGUGGAAUUCAUUACUAAACAGUCACAGAGAAAAUGAUUUAACCCACCGGCAGCAAACGUUAACACGCAUUUCCAGAUAUACUGGACCUACUCUCUCUAGCAUGGUGAAUCUGGCAGCACCGUGCUAGCAUGGAGGAGCCUAGCCCAGGAGGCCAUGAGACAAAAACAGGCAUUCUGCAUGGAGGCUUGCAGUGCCAGCGUUACAGAUACAACACAAAUGUUCCAGGUGGAAGAAGGGAUUCAAACGGAAUGCCAAGGUCCAAGCCAGGCUCAGGAAAUCAAAAGGAAGGUUUGGAGUAACGGAGAAGAUGGACUCCAACAUGCUCUAGGGAUUGAUUUAGCACCAGGACAAGAUUAAGUCUGGAUGCAAAAGUCACCAGUUAUCACAGCUGGAAGUGGUGGAGGUGCACAACCAUCAACACUCUUUAUAGAAGCUUAAGCAGCUGUGAUGGUUCUUCUUAUGCAAGGUAAGUGCUGCUGCUGGCUUUAGAGUAAAUUAGUCCUGUGACAUUCUCAACUCAAUACAUUCCAAUUUCUUAGACAUAUUGAGUAAAUUCUCUUACUCUAACCUCUGAAGAUAAAAUAAAACAUAAUUUUUAAAACA